CUCUGUCUAGGCAGGCACUAAAGAAAACCACUGGGCGGAGUCCCGAACACCCUAAGGCCGAGCUCCUGCUGCUCUCCAGCAAGCGCGUCGCUCUCCAGCAGGAGCACACGGAUUGGAGGGAAGGCCUGUCACUCUCCAGCACGAACAGGAGCAUUGGAGGGAAGGCCUGUCACUCUCCAUCACGUGCACUCCAGCCUGAGCACCCAGAAAUGGAGGAAGGGUCAGCCAUUUAUGAAGCUCUGCGUGUGAAAAGUCGCGAUCUCAUUUCUUAGCAGUCAUUACUGUCACCAUCGCUCAGGCUGAAAUUGGCCCAGCCCGCUCAGGAGCCAUGCUGCCUUCUCCUGUCCUCCUCCGGAACUGCGGAAAGAGCCGGACUAACCCUUGCAUGCGUCGGCAUCUGCUGCACAAAUGCUGCGUCGGCCUGUUCUCGGCGUGCGUUCGAGAACACAGUACUGUUCACACAACGUUCUGCGGUAACCGAGUUUAUAACGUGGACUCCAUGGCCGGGGAACAUGGGGCGCGCCUGCCUGCGGGGAGCAGCCUCCGGAGCCGCGGAGCCUGACUUCCGCCCACCGGGGCGGGUCCCUCCCGCCUCUGAAUCCUUCCGGUUCUUCCUGCGCCGUUAAACCCCCCCGUGUCCACGAGGUCCUGUGGGGUCACCCUCGCAGGAAGUCACAAGCCAGUCCUGAACCCCGUCCCCACCCGGCAAGCCCGCAGCCCCGCGCUGGGAUGUGCUGCCUGCUCGCCCCACGCGUGUUCCAGACGCGCGCUCUGUGAAGGGCCGGAGUCGGUAUUUGAGGCCCUGUGGGCCCCACGCUGUCCCCGCAGCAUGUCCUUUGGUUUGAGUCGGUAAACCGCAGCGCUGGCAGGACAGCAGGGCCCACACUGCACGCGGCCAGGCCCAGGGCUGUGCAGGGCGGUGCCUUCUGCCAGCUCUGGAGGCCCCGAGAGGCUGGUGCCCAGCAGCCCUGGCCCCAGGGCCGGCAUGGGGCUCAGGACGGGAGGCCUCAGGUGCACUGCAGCCACACCAGGAACACCCCGGGAUCUGCUGCAGGUCCCCCAGGGACCAGCUUCUGCAGUCCUGACUUCCUAGGGUGUCAGGUGGGUGCAGUCCCUGGCUGACGACCGAGGGUCCCCGAGGUUACGAGGCCAGCGCUGCACACAACUGAAAUGCUCACAACGCCUCGCACCUUACGGAAAAGAAACCAUCCCCAAAAGAUGCUGGGCAACAUCCCGAGGGUCACAGCAACAGUGCCAAGCCAGGACCAGCGCGGCCCACGAUCCCCCAGCGUGCACUGCCCGGCUGGCACCGCGCUCGGCCAGGAGGACCUGGAAGAGUCCUGCCCAGGGCUCAGGUCUACACCACGCUGCCACCCAGGCUGGGAGCCGCCGCUGAGUGUGGGGAACGUGGCACGUCCUACCUGAGACGUGCUGCUGCAGAGACUUGAUGAAACACUUCUAAACGGAUGUAAAAGUCUCAGUAACAAUUGUAUAUUGAGUACUUGUUAAAAUGAUAGGAAUUUUGGUUAUAGCAGAUUAGAUGAAACAUACUAUUAAAAUU